GGAGAGGAUGACAAAUUGUUGGUUAUAUUAAAGCUAUAUUUAUUAUUUAAUCAUAUUUGGCAUUUUAAUUUCAUUAAAUGGAUGUUCUUUGUAUUAGAUGUUUUCUAUGUGAGAAAUAAAUUUCAUUUUGUUGUUUUAUCAUAGUUUUUUUAUUCUUUUAAUUUAGAGUCCAAAGCUCGUAGUGCUAUGGAACCUUAUUGUUUUUCGUAGGAUUUGUUUUUAUUUUUCUUCCCUAAAUCUGAAUGGGCAGCCUAAACUGUAAGACCUUGGCCGACCAAAUUCGGCAGGAAGAUGUCAAUUCCUACCCACUAUUCAGACUGUCCGACCCAAGUCUGUCAGCCAGAUGAGCCCAACACGUUUUGGUUGAUAUCUCCUGUCCUGUUAGUCCUACAAUCGAAAUUCCGAUACAGACAGCCUUGCCCUACCAACUUGCCAUUUGGACUAUGAAGCCCCACCUACUUAGAUUUUUUGCUAAUUUGCAUAAUUUGGAAAUCCUACUUCUGCCUUAAAGUCUGACCAAAUCAGACAAAUGAGGUGUCAAACUGAUCAGUCCUCUGAGCUGAUGAACAUAUAUAAAAAAGCAUGAUAUUUCUGUAUGAUACGGCCAUCAGCCAUGACCAAAUUUGAAAUGCUAACCCCAUGUUCCAUUCUGGGGACACCAAACAAAGCGGGCUGCAUUUAGUCAAUAGGGGGCGCUACAAAUGCCUACUUCCAAUAUCUCCUGAACUGCUUUGCCUAUCCAAAGGAAAUUUGGCACAUGUGUACUAUGGCCAAACCUGAGGUCAGACCCGUAAUAUGACAGUCAUAAGUCAUACAAUGGUGGCCAUAAUUAGCCAAUGAAAAUCAAGCAUGCAUUUCACAGGCCUAGCAAUCACCAAUCUCAACUAAAUCUGGAUGAUCCAUGUGACUACAGACCCUGACCUCACCCUGGUAAGAGCACCAUAGUCUGCCAGAUGAGAGCGCUACAGCAACAACUUUUGCCGUUUCUGCCUAUUUCUCCAGAACUGUCAAGCGUACAGUUGACAUUUAUUGCCAAGCCAAUUCAGUAUGUCAAGCCAAAUCAAACAACAUGUAGAACUUAGUUCUCCAUAUUUGCACUUUUGCAUGAUUUAGGUAGGUCUGAUAACAGGACUUUUCGUUAACCUCCUAGAAUUUUCAUCCAACCUACAUGAAUCUGGUAUCAUUCAAAUCAGGAGACCGUCCUCAUAAAUAAUUACUCAAAAAAUCCUAAAGUUUCUGUAAAGUACGGCAACCAGCCAUACUCACACCAUACAGGUGGCACGCCCAUUUCAAUCAGACAGCUGUAUCUCAGGCCUGUCUCAGCCAAUCACUACCAAACUUGAAUAAAUCCUGUUAGGACAGUAGUGGGGGUAGGCCCUCCAAAUCUGGUGCCAAACGGUCAAACGGGGGUGGCACAGCAAUUUAACAUGUGUCUCUAAACCUGCAAAAUCAGUGAAACUGACAUUUUCCUCAUUCUGUUCUACUGACAUAUUAAUAGUCAAAAUCCUUUGUACUGCAAGUUCUGUGAGUCCUGCCAAAUCAAGAUAUAUGUACUGUCCAAUGACAGUGAUUUGCAUCCCGUCAUGAUGUUUAAAAACUCAAUAAAUGCCAUAUUCCUACAAUGUACACCCCAGCUAGGUCAUUCUGGUCUCAGGUCAAUUAUGACACUGCCCUUAUGGAUGAUUCAUAAAAAUAACUUGACCUGCCUGUACAGUAUGGCCACCAGCCACAACCAACCCUGCACCAUUUCCAUACUCAUUUCAAUCAGGUGUCUUUAUCUCAGGCAUGCUUCAACCAAUCCUCACCAAAUUUGACCGACUAAUGUAGCACGAGACCACAAACAGACCCUCCAUGUUUGGUGCCAAUCGGUCAAACAGAGGCGCUAAGGCCACUGUCUAUAAAUGUCUAACACCCACCAUAGCAAAUUCAGCUGAAAUGUCCUUAUUUCUCAUAGAACCUUCAAUGAUACUUCAGGCUGUGUACACUGCAGCAAUUGGAAUUUUUAAAUAAAUUGGCCAGCAGGUGGAGUCAGUGCACCAUUUAUAAAAUUCAAUUCAAUACUAUCAGCCGUCCUCUUGUCUAAAUGAACAGCCUAGAACAGGAUACAGCAUGAUAUUACUGCUGUUACAUGCAGCAGUCCCGCAACUCAGCACUUUGUUAAUAAUAUACAACACAGCCUAUGUUUACACAAGCAGUAUAAACAAAGCAACCCUGUAAGAUGUAGACUUAUCAGACCAGGUAUGAAGGUGCCUAAAUCUACCAACUAGUCAGACCAUCAGACGCCUAACCAUGCAUUCAGUCAAGCUCAGGCACUCCACCACUGGGUUCUACAUUCUGUCCUACAUUUGCUGAUCUUUUAGACCAACACUCAACAAUCUCCAUCCUCAUUUCUACCUACUAUUCAGACUAUCUGACCCAAACAAGUCCUGUUCUGUCGGACAUCUGCUGACCUAUAGUUCUGUUUGACUUUCUAGUACGCUCCUCUACUGUUUGUCCUACCAAGACGACCAUCUUACGCUUUGGACCCGUUCCUUACAGCCUGCAGUUAUAUUUUGAUUUGUGUUUUUACUAUCAUUCUUUAUAUUAGGUCUUGACAAUCAGUAGGUUAAGAUAUGCAUUGUUGUCAUGACCUCGAGAGGUUCUGGCAUGGGGGCGAGGGAUUUAUUAACAAAAACCAAAAACACGGAGAACACUACAAAACAAAAAGGACCACUAAAGUAACUAAGAGAACAAAAUGAUCUACAAAGUGAAACUAGCUGCACAGGAACAGGCAGGGAUUAAAAACAUCAGAAACCACUGGCAGAAAGAACAUCAGCAGCACCAAGAACAAUAGCAACAGCAAGAACAUCAGCAGCACCAAGAACAUCAGCAGCACCAAGAACAUCAGCAGCACCAAGAACAUCAGUAAGAACAUCAACAUCAGCAAGAACAUCAUCAGCAGCAAAGAACAUCACCAAGAAGAUUAGCAGCAGCAAGAACAUCAGCAGCAACAAAGAACAUCAGCAGCAGCAAAAACAUCUGCAGUAGCAAAGAACAUCAGCAAGAAAAUCAGCAGCAGCAAGAACAUCAGCAGCAACAAGAACAUCCGCAGCAGCAAAGAACAUCAUCAGCAGCAAAUAACAUCAGCAAGAAGAUCAGCAGUAGCAAAUAACAUCAGCACAGAACAUCCGCAGCAACAAAGAACAUCAGCAAGAAGAUCAGCAGCAGCAAAUAACAUCAGCACAGAACAUCAGCAGCAACAAAGAACAUCAGCAAGAAAAUCAACAGCAGCAAGAACAUCCGCAGCAGCAAAUAACAUCAGUAAGAUCAACAGCAGCAAAUAACAUCAGCACAGAACAUGAGCAGCAGCAAAGAACAUCAGCAAGAACAUCAGCAGCAGCAAGAACAUCAGCAGCAGCAAGAACAUCAGCAGCAACAACAAAUAUAUUAGUGAUUUUAUUUUUUAUCAUCUUAUUUUUUAUCUUUAUAUUUUUUAUCAUUUUUUUUUCUCUUAGCUUAUUUGAAUUAUUUUAAUUUAUUUCAUAUUAUCAUUCUUCUUAUCAGGUCUUUCCUUUUUGAUUAAUAAAAAUAUGGGAGGAAUCCACUGAAAUAUAGGGACAGCAAGUCCAUGCACACAAUGUUGGGGUCGGUAAGGAUCCCGUGAUAUUGCAGCUGCAAAGUAAAAUCACUAGAUACUAAAACGCGGCAGCGGAGCCCCAGACAUUCACCAUGUCCAACUGAACUUUUCUAAGACAAAGCAGAACAUUUGGUACUCAAUCAGACGAAAUACGCCAAAGAUACAACUUCGUUUGUCUUCAUUGGCUCCAUAUAUAUAGGCGCUUGCAACAUGAUUAGUUUAAUGAAACAGCACCUACCGGCAUUCGAUCCCUCGAUGGUCAGCAUGCCAAACUCACCCGCUGAUCCUAAUGUCUUCUGUUUGAGUCCAAUGUCCCGAUCCAGUCAUGGAUAUAGCCCACAGCACAGCUCACAUACUUUUUCCAUCUUCAUCCGAUCCGUUCAAAACUAAGAAGUCUGGUAUUCAGUUAGCCCAAAUGCUCCAAUGAUACACCGUACCUUGUCUCUCUUCACUGGCUCUCUGUAGAUGCUGGCACCAAGUUCAGAGUAAUGGAAUAGCACCUAACUAUAAGUACUUCCACCCACCUACUGUACGUCCUGUCCCUCUGUGGCCAGAGGACAGAGUGACGUAGAAGUUCUAGAACUGCGUCAACACAGCUGCCCGUCAUAUCGCGAUUAAACCCGAUAGCCAAUGAGAAACGGGAUUACGUAAGUACAGGGUAAACUUGCAAAACAAACACGUUUCACCGCCCUUUCAAAUAAAAACGGAAAUGCGGUCCACAUGUAAGUUUAUUUUACCACUGCUUUGACCACGCAAUUAUUAGCUAAAUAUAAACAUGGGUCGCUUAGAGAUUUACAAAAAAGCUGUAGUAACUGGUAAAAGUAAUUUUCGUAGCAGCAGCUAGUCGCCUUACUAAUCGUUACCUCCCACUUAUUUUCAUCUAUUUACUAUUUUGCAUAAAAAGAGAGAUCGGAAUCAUUUGAAACUAAGCAUCCAAUCAGAAUCCCCCGGUCCCACUCUGUGUUCCGGUGUCUUGUAUUUCCUAAGUCCCGUAUUUCUUUAGAUUGAAGGUAACAUCCCUACUAAUAGUAAUUGUUCUGUUAUCAUUGUAUUACAUUGAAUUAAUUAGAAUAUAUUAGCUGUGAAAGUUUAUUCCUUUGCUCUUUAGACGUCUAAUUCAAAACAAUGCGCCUGCGAAUAGGUCCUUGUUUAAUGAUGUCAUGGGUAGGAGCUCAAAUUGUUGUAGUCACGACGUAGGGACUCGAGUUGUCCGUCUUUUACAGCUUGUUAGUCUUUGAAGGGAUUAUUUGUAUCGUAGCGCCGGCUGGGCGCAUGUCCCAGCAUGCCUCGCAUGCAAGUUGUAAGUAGCCCUUGUUUUGUCGUUAUUGUUAAUGUUACUGGUUACAUUUCCUUAAUGUUGCGCUUGUGUGUUGCAUCCUCGUGUGUAAUUAAUUUACGUAAAUCUUCCAGCACGCGUCUUACAGUUCGGUGUCUGGCAACCUUAUGUUUCGUGUAUGUAAUUGAUUGGAUGCGCUUUGCUUGUCUGAUAUGGUUCUUUUCAGGGCGACUAAUGUAGAGCGUUUUCUCUCCGCCCGGCGAGUCUCCGUGGUUCUUUCUGCUUCUGCAUUGCAUCGCUUUUCCAGCACUGGAAUGAAAAUGAUGCAAAACUUAAUUAAAGCAGAUGUUCAGUGAACAGCUGUUGCCAUCCCACCAGCAGGGGGCAGGGCUGCCCCUCAUCAUAUCAAGCAAUGCAGUGUGAGGCUUCCUAUGCAGCUUGCGUGCUCCCUCCCUCUCCCCCUUGGCUUUGUUCAGCCAUUUACUUUGUGUUUCUGUGGCUGUGUGUUUUGCUUCUUUCAGCUGGUUUUAGGAUCUAAACUGGUCAAAGACCAUGGUAUGGCUGCUUAAGAAAGCUCACCAAAGCCUACUCUUUAUGUGGAGGCUGAAGAAAUUUGGCAUGUUGCUGACAGUCCUAGGCAGCUUCUACAGGUGCACAGUGGAGAGCAUAUUAAUCUGCUGCAUAGCUGCGUGCUUUGGCAGCUGCGCUGGACAGGACAGACAGGCACUGCAGUGGGUGAUCAUGUUAGCUCAGAAAAUCACAGGGUUAGGUCUCCCUUCACUGCAGGACAUCUGUGACAGGAGAAUCUGCAGAUGGGCCAGCAGCAUUGUCAGCAGUCUCACCCACCUCACCCAACUAAUCGUCACUCUCAUGAAACCUGUACAGGAGUGUUAAUACCACAACACCCAGACUCCAGAACAGUCUGUACCCCCAGGCCAACAGAAGGAUCAAGGACUGCCACCCUCUGCCAGCUGUGCCCCCACCCCAGGCACCAUGGCAAUGAUCACCCAGCUUGCAGCACUCUGCACCUUACAUGCAUUUGUUGGAGUUUGUGUUAAGCAAAUAAAUGCCUUUUUCUUAAACCAA